UACUCCUACGGGAGGCAGCAGUGGGGAAUAUUGCACAAUGGGGGAAACUCUGAUGCAGCGACGCCGCGUGAGUGAAGAAGUAAUUCGUUAUGUAAAGCUCUAUCAGCAGGGAAGAUAGUGACGGUACCUGACUAAGAAGCUCCGGCUAAAUACGUGCCAGCAGCCGCGGUAAU
rnacentral:rRNA from 1 species